CACUCCUGCGGGAGGCAGCAGUGGGGAAUAUUGGACAAUGGGCGCAAGCCUGAUCCAGCCCUGCCGCGUGAGUGAUGAAGGCCCUAGGGUUGUAAAGCUCUUUCACCGGUGAAGAUAAUGACGGUAACCGGAGAAGAAGCCCCGGCUAACUUCGUGCCAGCAGCCGCGGUAAUACGAAGGGGGCUAGCGUUGUUCGGAUUUACUGGGCGUAAAGCGCACGUAGGCGGACUAUUAAGUCAGGGGUGAAAUCCCGGGGCUCAACCCCGGAACUGCCUUUGAUACUGGUAGUCUUGAGUUCGAGAGAGGUGAGUGGAAUUCCGAGUGUAGAGGUGAAAUUCGUAGAUAUUCGGAGGAACACCAGUGGCGAAGGCGGCUCACUGGCUCGAUACUGACGCUGAGGUGCGAAAGCGUGGGGAGCAAACAGGAUUAGAAACCCUAGUAGUCCC
rnacentral:rRNA from 1 species